rnacentral:snoRNA from 1 species
GGUGCAAGGGAUGAAACAAACACACAACUUUCGUUCUUCUGAGCUGAUGAGCUCUGAGGAAAACGUGGAGACCUGAACUGACGCACC